CGGCAACAGCUCAAAUUUGAAAUCUGACCUCCUUUGGCGGUCCGAGUUGUAAUUUGCAGAGGGUGCUUUGGUGUCGUCGGCGGUCUAAGUUCCUUGGAACAGGACGUCACAGAGGGUGAGAAUCCCGUUUGUGAUCGCCAGCCUUCACCGUGUAAAGCCCCUUCGAC
rnacentral:rRNA from 1 species